rnacentral:rRNA from 1 species
CCAUAAUUCAAGGGGUUGAGACGAGUGAAUGUAUUCACGAAGCGAUCGGAAGUGGUUCCAAGAAAAGCCUCUAAGCUUCAGUCAUACGAGACCGUACCGCAAACCGACACAGGUGGGCGAGAUGAGUAUUCUAAGGCGCUUGAGAGAACUCGGGAGAAGGAACUCGGCAAAUUGGUACCGUAACUUCGGGAUAAGGUACGCCCUUGUAGUUUGACCCCCCUGCGGGGGAAGGACGAAAGGGUUGCAAUAAACUGGUGGCUGCAACUGUUUAAUAAAAACACAGCACUAUGCAAACACGAAAGUGGACGUAUAUGGUGUGACUCCUGCCCGGUGCUGGAAGAUUAAAUGAUGGGGUGCAAGCUCUUGAUUGAAGUCCCAGUAAACGGCGGCCGUAACAAUAACGGUCCUAAGGUAGCGAAAUUCCUUGUCGGGUAAGUUCCGACCUGCACGAAUGGAGUAAUGAUGGCCACACUGUCUCCUCCCGAGACUCAGCGAAAUUGAAAUGUUUGUGAUGAUGCAAUCUACCCGCGGCUAGACGGAAAGACCCCAUGAACCUUUACUGUAGCUUUGCAUUGGACUUUGAACCAAUCUGUGUAGGAUAGGUGGGAGGCUUUGAAGCGGGGACGCCAGUUCUCGUGGAGCCAUCCUUGAAAUACCACCCUGGUUUGUUUGAGGUUCUAACCUUGGCCCAUUAUCUGGGUCGGGGACAGUGCAUGGUAGGCAAUUUGACUGGGGCGGUCUCCUCCCAAAGUGUAACGGAGGAGUUCGAAGGUACGCUAGUUACGGUCGGACAUCGUGACGAUAGUGCAAUGGCAUAAGCGUGCUUAACUGCGAGACUGACAAGUCGAGCAGGUACGAAAGUAGGACAUAGUGAUCCGGUGGUUCUGUAUGGAAGGGCCAUCGCUCAACGGAUAAAAGGUACUCUGGGGAUAACAGGCUGAUUCCUCCCAAGAGUUCAUAUCGACGGGGGAGUUUGGCACCUCGAUGUCGGCUCAUCACAUCCUGGGGCUGUAGCCGGUCCCAAGGGUAUGGCUGUUCGCCAUUUAAAGUGGUACGUGAGCUGGGUUUAAAACGUCGUGAGACAGUUUGGUCCCUAUCUGCCGUGGGCGUUGGAAGUUUGAAGGGGGCUGCUCCUAGUACGAGAGGACCGGAGUGGACGAACCUCUGGUGUAUCGGUUGUCACGCCAGUGGCAUUGCCGAGUAGCUAUGUUCGGAAGAGAUAACCGCUGAAAGCAUCUAAGCGGGAAACUCGCCUUAAGAUGAGACUUCCCAGAGACUUGAUCUCUUUAAAGGGUCGUUCGAGACCAGGACGUUGAUAGGCUGGGUGUGGAAGC